rnacentral:lncRNA from 1 species
CAAGAAUCAGUAAUUUCUAUUCAGCAAAGCCACCAAAUCAGAGAGCAGUGCAGAUCUUAUUGGAGGAGAGCCUUCAACAGCAACUAAUCCUGUCGUAUUGAAAGAAAAUUGUAAAUGUUCUCUGCAGAAAUUGCCUGCCCAUUGCAGCUAAUCGAGCCCACUUGGCGCUCUCACAUCCACACACAGCACGCAGCACCCAGACCCACAGCCGCACAGCCACCAGCACUGUGAGAUGCUCACCUGGGUGCCCUGCUCUCCUCCCUGCCACCACCCCCAUGAAGGCGGCAGCUUGUCCUCUUUUCCUUAGGAGCACUGGGGGAAAUAUGAAUAAUCAUCAGCUCACUUACGGGUCCCAGCAUCCGCUAUUUUUAAUUUCUCCAGUUUUGUCUAAACCGUUAAGCUCGGUUUGAUAGCUCCCUGUAUAUAUGUGUGUGCAUGUAUGUGUGUGCAUACAUAUAUAUGUAAUUGAAAGCUGAACUUGGCUGAGCUGAAGCAGGCUCCCAAGGGCCAGUGUCACGGAGAGUGCGGGGUGUGUGUGUGCGUGUGUGUGUGCCUGCGCAUGUGGGAGGGAGAGAGCGAGCGAGGGAGAGACAAAAACUCCAUCAACCCGGACAAUACCACCUCUCGUUUAAUGCUUCCCAACUGUUAUUCUUUCCCCUCAUUAUCACAGCACCAAGUAAUCUGUCUUUCCCCCCCUCCAACCCCCCUCCCUCCUCUUGGAAGAUAUGGAAGAGAAAGAUAAAGCGGCUGCCUGCGGGCGCUGAUGCGCGCAGCUCGCAUGCCUCCGCCGCCAGAGCCGGGGCCGCUCCGCAGCCGCCGCUCGCAGAGAGCCGCUUGCCGCGGGAUGGGAUGCAACUUCUGGUGAUUGGAUCACAGGUGGCGAAUAUGGGUUCCAGAGGAAGAUUUGUCCACCUGUUUGCUUAGAAUCUGAGAAGGAACCGUAUUCUUCACAGAAAAUGAAGAUGACUAGUAGAAACUGGUGAGGGUGAGUACUUUCUGCUAUAUCUUAAAGUAGAUCUGAGUGUUUCCAUAGGAUUUUGUCAGAGAAACAGAGUUGUUUUGGUGAUGUGCAGGAUACACAGCUUUCCAUUAGUACCUGGAGAGGAGAUAUCAUGCUGGCUCAUCUCCUUUGCCACGUUAUUUGUGGAGAUUUUAGAUUGUUCAGUUGAAGGUUUUCGGAGGUGAUUUGUUGAUUUCAGCAGGAGUUCUAUCAGCAAGGCAAGGCAUCUUUGCAAAGAACUUUUAUCCAUUCGCACAGUGGAAAGCAUUUCAGUAACUUCUGCUUUUGAAAAUGUCUAUGAUCUGGGGCUG